AGAUUGAACGCUAGCGGGAUGCUUUACACAUGCAAGUCGAACGGCAGCGCGGACUUCGGUCUGGCGGCGAGUGGCGAACGGGUGAGUAAUAUAUCGGAACGUGCCCAGUAGCGGGGGAUAACUACGCGAAAGCGUGGCUAAUACCGCAUACGCCCUACGGGGGAAAGGGGGGAUCGCAAGACCUCUCACUAUUGGAGCGGCCGAUAUCAGAUUAGCUAGUUGGUGAGGUAAAGGCUCACCAAGGCGACGAUCUGUAGCUGGUUUGAGAGGACGACCAGCCACACUGGGACUGAGACACGGCCCAGCCUCCUACGGGA
rnacentral:rRNA from 1 species